UCUCCUUUCUGGAGGUCAGGGGCACACACCUGAGGGUGUCUGUUAAUGCCGGCUCUCCUCCUGGCACUGACCUCUUUUGCAGCUCCUGUUAUGCAGUGUUCCCCUUCCAGCAGGUGUCCCUCUGCGUGGGCUGCCUCAUUGGCCUGGUCAUGUUCGCGUAUUACCAGGAGUAUCCCAUGAGCAUUCAGCAGGCUCAGGCAGCCCCAGACCAGUUCGUCCUGUACUUUGUGAUGGAUCUCCUGAAGGGCCUGCCGGGCCUGCCAGGGCUCUUCAUUGCCUGCCUCUUCAGCGGCUCUCUCAGCACUAUAUCCUCUGCUUUUAAUUCAUUGGCGACUGUUACGAUGGAAGACCUGAUUCGACCUUGGUUCCCUGAGUUCUCUGAAGCCCGGGCCAUCAUGCUUUCCAGAGGCCUUGCCUUUGGCUAUGGGCUGCUUUGUCUAGGAAUGGCCUAUAUUUCCUCCCAGAUGGGACCUGUACUGCAGGCAGCAAUCAGCAUCUUUGGCAUGGUUGGGGGACCGCUGCUGGGACUCUUCUGCCUUGGAAUGUUCUUUCCAUGUGCCAACCCUCCUGGUGCUGUUGUGGGCCUGUUGGCUGGACUCGUCAUGGCCUUCUGGAUCGGCAUCGGGAGCAUCGUGACCAGCAUGGGCUCCAGCAUGCCACCCUCUCCCUCUAAUGGGUCCAGCUUCUCCCUGCCCACCAAUCUAA
rnacentral:sRNA from 1 species